GGCCUGGUGGUGUAAUGGUAACAUACCUGUAAGAAUUUGAAAUGGUAGAACAGACUUAGCAGGAGUUCCUGGUUCGAUUUCGGGUUGGGCCA